rnacentral:lncRNA from 1 species
CAAAGAACUCAGAUCUGCUCUUAGAUCAGAUGUCCUCUCUCUCUUUCCAGGGUGGGUGGGAUGCUAGCGGACCUCUGUUUUUGUUAACCAUUGAUGUAUUUCAAAUGGAGUGAGGAACAGUACAGACAGAGCAACUGUUCUUGUGGAUGAGUGUGGCCUCUGAGGAAAGAGACAAAUGGGCUGUCGAGAGGAAGAGUUUGUCAUUUUAGUCUCCUCCAUACACAGGGUCUAUCUUUCAAGACUGCAUCAGCCCUCCUGUGUGUACUGGGAAGAAACCUGCUUUGGGGAGAGGAGGAGAGCUUGAGCUUCUUAGGGCUUGAUGUUAAAUCUUCCACAAGCCCGGCCCGUCUCUCUUAAUAUCAUCAGAGAGUACAUUCACAAAGACUUGAGGCUCAAAUAAAGAGCAAUAUGGUAUU